rnacentral:rRNA from 1 species
AUUGAACGCUGGCGGCAUGCCUAACACAUGCAAGUCGAGCGGAUGAAGGGAGCUUUCUCCUGUAUUCAGCUGCGGACGGGUGAGUAAUGCCUAGGAAUCUGCCUGGUAUUGGGGGAUAACGUCCGGAAACGGGCGCUAAUACCGCAUACGUCCUUAGUGAGAAAGUGGGGGAUCUUCGGACCUCACGCUACCAGAUGAGCCUAGGUCGGAUUAGCUAGUUGGUGGGGUAAAGGCCUACCAAGGCGACGAUCCGUAACUGGUCUGAGAGGAUGAUCAGUCACACUGGAACUGAGACACGGUCCAGACUCCUACGGGAGGCAGCAGUGGGGAAUAUUGGACAAUGGGCGAAAGCCUGAUCCAGCAAUGCCGCGUGAGUGAAGAAGGUCUUCGGAUCGUAAAGCACUUUAAGUUGGGAGGAAGGGAAGUAAGUUAAUCCCUUGCUGUCUUGACGUUACCAACAGAAUAAGCAACGGCUAACUUCGUG